GUCUAAGGGCUUACGUGCAACCUGUUUUGUUAUUUUAAUUUGGUCAAAAAUAUUUGUAGAGAUCUGCAAUUUUCAAAACAUUCUAUAGAUAUUUUAGUUAUUUACAGGUAUUUGACAUUUUAAAGUUAUCAGUUUUUAUUUAGUUUUAUGUGGAUAAAAUUGUUUUAUAUGAAUUUUUGAACAUUUUCUUCGAGGUUUAUCAUAAGUUUUAAUUAGUGGUGAAAAAAAAAAGCUAACAGCGUAAUUAAUAGUUAUUUUUUUAUACGCGUUUAAGGUUCUAAUAUUGACGAAAAUCAUAAAAACAUCAUAUUUCACUUAUUUU